rnacentral:rRNA from 1 species
GACGUAGGGCGCGAGCGUUGUCCGGAUUUAUUGGGCGUAAAGAGCUCGUAGGCGGCUUGUCGCGUCGAGUGUGAAAUCCUGCGGCUCAACUGCAGGCUUGCAUUCGAUACGGGCAGGCUGGAGUUCGGUAGGGGAGACUGGAAUUCCUGGUGUAGCGGUGGAAUGCGUAGGGAUCCGGAAGAACACCGGAGGCGAAGGCGGCUUGCUGGGCGUGAUCUGACGCUGAGGCGCGAAAGCGUGGGGAGCGAACAGG